rnacentral:lncRNA from 1 species
AGUUUGAAUUAGUUUUAUGUUUGCAUUUUUACUAUAAUUUUCUUGUCACAACAUGUUUGAAACAAUGGGAAUUUAAGGUAGAUUAAGCAUAUCUAAGAAUUUUGAUAUGAUAUAGCAUCCCAUCUUUGUAAAAAUCUAGAUGGGAAAUAAUGAGACUAAACCAGAACACUUUUAAGCAGCCUCUUGUAGAGAUUUCUUCUUUUCUAUUGAUAAUCUGGCAACAUCUCUCAAAUCACCAUUGGGCCCUCUUUCAUUAAAAUGUUCUCUGAGAAAUUCCACAGCCAUGAAUGUAAGAGCUGAAGCCGGAAUGUACCACGCAAUUCUGGGGAUGCUACCCCUAAACAUCCCCUUCAUGCCUUCCCUGACCCAUAUAUUGUACAUUGCAUCCAACCAACCAUUAUACCUAAUACAACAAUACAUAAAGCAAAUUACCAUUAAUUUAUAGCUUUAGUCCAUCAAAAACAUUACAACUCCCCACACACAAAAUAGCCCUUUUCAUUAUGAAUUUAUGGUAAGAAAAAUGUGAGACAAUGUAUAUAUUUUUAUUUUGACGAUGUCCAUAAUACUUCAGAAAACCAACUCUGCAUAAUGGGAAGGCAGAUGUGUUCCAAACAAUGUUUUAAAAAAAGGACCAAAUUGGCCAGUUGACCAAAGAACUGGUCAGUUAGCUGAAUGAUUUGAUCCCGGUUCAACCAUUUUUCGUUUUUUUUACAUUUUUUAAUUUACUUUUUCUAUUUAAUACAGUUUUUACUUUUUAUUUAGUGAAUUGUCAUCCAAUUCAACCGUGGUUGAACCAACUGGAUAAUGACCCAGAGGUCUCACCAGUUCAAAAAAUACUGGGUCCAAAAAACAAUCAUUAAAGAAAGUUAAGUAGACUAGUUAUGGAAAUGAAUUUGAUACAUUAAAGUUGAACCCUGAACUUGCAGCCUUGUUUUGACGACAUCCAAAGGAGUGGUGAGAUAUGCACUGAGACCUGUUUCAUUGUUAACACAAAAAAUUAAUUAUACCGAACAAAUCACUGCUAGGAGAACUUAAGUACAAAGAUUAAAGGCAAAGCACAGGACAUACCACCAGCUAAUCCUCCUAAAACCAGCCCCUCAAAUGAAUUAUUAACCUGCCAUUUGGAGCUAGAUAUCCAUCUUUGCUUCCCGUACUCUGUAACAUCUUUCAAAGCUUCAUAGAACACAACCUUUAAAAAUUGCAUAAAAAGUUAUUCAAAAUCACAUUUGCACAAAUAUUACAAAACAAAUAAUUUACUUCUAGAAACAUCUGUGUUUUCACACAGUAUAUCAAAUACAUAUAUGUACAUGAUUGCAGAGUUUGGAUCACACUUACAGUUUAUGAUUGAACAUAAUACAUUUGAAAUGAAAUGAGUCAGAAAUACAAUGACAGGUAGUUGGAUGUAAAAAUGACAUCAUCACAGGCAAUAUGAUGUAUAUGAAUUUAAAUCUUAUCAUUCCAAACAAAUUUCAUACCAUUUUUUUUCUUAUUUUAGACUCCAAAUAAAUAAGAGUUUGUCUAUUUAGCCCUAGAAAAAUUGGCCAAAGUUAAUCUCCUUGGUUUUUUACAGUACAAUGCUAUAGAGAUUCAAAAAUAAAUAUGUAACUUUAUUCAAUGCUUAAACAAGUGCCAUGUGUGGCAGAGAAAUUAAUAAAUCAUUAAAUCAGGCCCAGAAAAAGGAUGGUUCCAAUAUGGAUCAGGUCAUAAAGAGUGGUUGGACCUAUAAAGACUAUACUUGAAUUUUGAAUAAUGCAUCCAAUUCCAAUAUCUAUGUCUAAUCAGUAAUCAUAAAAAUAUUCUUUACUUCAAUUUCUGACUGACCUAACCCAUUUUAAAGUUUAGCUACGACACCUUCUGUGCACUAGCAGUGACAAUCAUAUCAGACAAUAGACUUUUAAUAAACUGAAAGAGGACCAUGUAAGAGAAUGUUUAAAUUACCAAAUGAAAAUAUUGAAUACAAUAGAUUAUAGAAGAGUUAAGGCUUAUUUGUUUAAGCUUUUGAAUUAAAAAAAAAAAAAGUGAUUCUAAGAUGGCAUAAAAAAAUUAAUUUUAGAGAUUUAUGUAAAGGAGAAGCUUUUUUUCAUUUAGUUACUAUUAUAAAAAUCAUUUUUUAUGUUAACACUUAGGGUGGCUUCUAAGGGGAGGGUCCAAAAAGUCCCUCACUGGUGGACCACUAUAAAAAACAAUUAAGAGUAAUUAGACCAAUCAAGGUUACACAUACUAUUAUACACCAUAUACACUAGGGAGCUUGAUUAGUCUAUUGGCUCUUGAUUAAGAGUAUGUGUGAGCUUGAUUAGUCUAUUGGCUCUUGAUUAAGAGUAUGUGUGAGCUUGAUUAGUCUAUUGGCUCUUGAUUGUUGUUUAUAGUACCUGUAAGGGAUUUGUUGGAGCCCUUACCUUAUACUUACAAGUUACAACUUAUUUUAAAAUUUAAAAUUUAAUCAAGAAAAAAUUAAAAUUAUCCAAUGCGUCGAAAAAAAUAUUAACACUAUCUAAGAAUACGAUUCAAGAAUUAAACAAUUAUCAUUGGUAUUGGUCAACAUUACACUUUCAAUCGUUAAUAGUCAAUAGUUAAUGAAGGUCAUUUACUUUCAAUUGUUAAUAGUCAAUAGUUAAAUCUUGACAAUUAUUUUAAAACGGACAAAGAAUCAUACAAAAUUGAAACAACAAAUCUCUUCUCUUUAAGAAGUAAUAUAAAUAAAUAAUUUUUGCUUCAACUCCUAUUUUUUAUCAUUUCAUAAGUAACGUCAACUUCAAUUCUACUAUACUUUUAAUUUUAUUCAACUAAUCAACUAUCUUAAUUAACAUUUAAAAGGAUUUAAUUCUCAAAUUCACUAUUGUCAAAAAAAAUAUUCACUAUGUGGUGGAUAUUAACUUUUUCACUGUUUUACAUUUUAUUAUGCUGAUGUCGAUUUGUGCACAGGCUUAUAUUUGGAUGGAGCAUAUGGGAAUUACAUAAAUUGAGAAGAGGUUUGUGAAUAUGACAUACAAACCAUCAACACCAAACUAAUUACAUCCUGAGUAAAGAAAACUAUGUCAUUAGCAUGAGUAGAAUAAAAUGUAAAAGAAUAUAGACAUAGUCAGAGUGUGAGGUAUGAACUCAAUUGUAGAAUUUUCCUUCCCAAGGUGUACUUUGAUAUCCAAAUAUGGUCGCAAUUCAACCAAACACAUUGCUAUCUGAUGAAAUUACUUGCACUUCAUCCAUGGUCCCAUAAUAGAGAUGACAUGUUGAUGUGGCAAAAAAAAGUAAUUAAUUACACAAGGCAUUCAAAUUAUAAGUGGAUUAGGUGUCAACAUCAGAUUAUGCAUCUCAUAUUUAAUAGAUUAUAAUAGAUAAGAUUAUUCAAAAAAUAGACAAAUACAGAACACCGCAUGAAAGUUAUGUGAAAAAUGUGUACGGUAAAUAUGUACAUAUACUACUACUUAUUAUCACCUUAAGAUGUUCUCGAAGCCAAAUUUCUAAGUUUUCCAAGUCUCUAUUCACUAGUUCGGAAGAUAGCAGACCAAACAAAAAUGGACCAGAUAAAGUUUGAAUUAGUUUUAUGUUUGCAUUUUUACUAUAAUUUUCUUGUCACAACAUGUUUGAAACAAUGGGAAUUUAAGGUAGAUUAAGCAUAUCUAAGAAUUUUGAUAUGAUAUAGCAUCCCAUCUUUGUAAAAAUCUAGAUGGGAAAUAAUGAGACUAAACCAGAACACUUUUAAGCAGCCUCUUGUAGAGAUUUCUUCUUUUCUAUUGAUAAUCUGGCAACAUCUCUCAAAUCACCAUUGGGCCCUCUUUCAUUAAAAUGUUCUCUGAGAAAUUCCACAGCCAUGAAUGUAAGAGCUGAAGCCGGAAUGUACCACGCAAUUCUGGGGAUGCUACCCCUAAACAUCCCCUUCAUGCCUUCCCUGACCCAUAUAUUGUACAUUGCAUCCAACCAACCAUUAUACCUAAUACAACAAUACAUAAAGCAAAUUACCAUUAAUUUAUAGCUUUAGUCCAUCAAAAACAUU